CUGGGAUGGGGUUGGGAAGGG
rnacentral:miRNA from 1 species